ensembl:lncRNA
GGUGGUGUAGUUCAUACUCACAGACACACAGGAGGUGGAGGUGGUGUAGUUCAUACUCAGACACACAGGAGGUGGAGGUGGUGUAGUUCAUACUCACAGACACACAGGAGGUGGAGGUGGUGUAGUUCAUACUCACAGACACACAGGAGGUGGAGGUGGAGGUGGUGUAGUUCAUACUCACAGACACACAGGGGCUGGAGGUGGAGGUGGUGCUCGGGGAAGGAGACCUCUGGACCGUCACUAGCGCCAUCCUGUCCCCGCUCUUCGGGCCCGGGUCUCGGUCACCUCAGCCGCAGAGGUCCCGGUGCGCGCAUAGCUCGGUGUUUCUCCGGUCUUCCUCCGGUGUUUCUCCGGUGUUUCUCCGGUGUUUCUCCGGUCUUUCUCCGGUCUUCCUCGGGUGUUUCCCCGGUCUUUCUCGGGUCUUUCUCGGGUCUUUCUCGGGUCUUUCUCCGGUCUUCCUCCGGUCUUUCUCCGGGUCGUUUCCGC